AUCAACGGUCAUAGAGAUGGUGGAAAUACCCGCUCUCAUCCCGAACGCGGAAGUUAAGCAUUAUCUCGAUCAUGUCAGUACUGCUCAAUGAGUGGGAAAGCCGAUUGCUGUUGAUC
rfam:Candidatus Altiarchaeales archaeon A3 Ga0073111_1144, whole genome shotgun sequence.